UACUAACGCUGGCGGCGUGCUUAACACAUGCAAGUCGAACGGAAAGGCCCUGCUUUUGUGGGGUGCUCGAGUGGCGAACGGGUGAGUAACACGUGAGUAACCUGCCCUUGACUUUGGGAUAACUUCAGGAAACUGGGGCUAAUACCGGAUAGGAGCUCCUGCUGCAUGGUGGGGGUUGGAAAGUUUCGGCGGUUGGGGAUGGACUCGCGGCUUAUCAGCUUGUUGGUGGGGUAGUGGCUUACCAAGGCUUUGACGGGUAGCCGGCCUGAGAGGGUGACCGGCCACAUUGGGACUGAGAUACGGCCCAGACUCCUACGGGAGGCAGCAGUGGGGAAUGUUGCACAAUGGGCGGAAGCCUGAUGCAGCAACGCCGCGUGCGGGAUGACGGCCUUCGGGUUGUAAACCGCUUUCGCCUGUGACGAAGCGUGAGUGACGGUAAUGGGUAAAGAAGCACCGGCUAACUACGUG
rnacentral:rRNA from 1 species